UGCGAGUCGUACGAGUACGGGUUACAGUUUACUGUAAUUGUCAGCUAAGUGGCGCACGGGUGAGUAAUAUAUAGUUAACCUGCCCUAGAGAGAGGGAUAACGUUUGGAAACGGACGCUAACACCUCAUAUGCCUUUAAGACAAAAGUCUGCAAGGGAAACAUUUAUGGCUCUAGGAUGGGACUGUACGGUAUCAGUUAGUUGGUGAGGUAAUGGCUCACCAAGACAAUGACACCUAACUGGUUUGAGAGGAUGAUCAGUCACACUGGAACUGAGACACGGUCCAGACUCCUACGGGAGGCAGCAGUGGGGAAUAUUGCACAAUGGACGAAAGUCUGAUGCAGCAACGCCGCGUGGAGGAUGACACAUUUCGGUGCGUAAACUCCUUUUAUAUAGGAAGAUAAUGACGGUACUAUAUGAAUAAGCACCGGCUAACUCCGUGCCAGCAGCCGCGGUAAUACGGAGGGUGCAAGCGUUACUCGGAAUCACUGGGCGUAAAGAGCGUGUAGGCGGAUUAAUAAGUUGGAAGUGAAAUCCUAUGGCUCAACCAUAGAACUGCUUUCAAAACUGUUUAUCUAGAAUAUGGGAGAGGUAGAUGGAAUUUCUGGUGUAGGGGUAAAAUCCGUAGAGAUCAGAAAGAAUACCGAUUGCGAAGGCGAUCUACUGGAACAUUAUUGACGCUGAGAUUCGAAAGCGUGGGGAGCAAACAGA
rnacentral:rRNA from 1 species